rnacentral:rRNA from 1 species
UACGAAGGGUGCAAGCGUUGUUCGGAAUCAUUGGGCGUAAAGCGCGCGCAGGCGGUCCUUUAAGUCUGAUGUGAAAGCCCACGGCUCAACCGUGGAGGGUCAUUGGAAACUGGGGGACUUGAGUGCAGAAGAGGAAAGCGGAAUUCCACGUGUAGCGGUGAAAUGCGUAGAGAUGUGGAGGAACACCAGUGGCGAAGGCGGCUUUCUGGUCUGUAACUGACGCUGAGGCGCGAAAGCGUGGGGAGCAAACAGG